rnacentral:rRNA from 1 species
AAUAUUGCACAAUGGGCGAAAGCCUGCUCCAGCAACGCCGCGUGAAUGAUGAAGGCCUUCGGGUCGUAACGUUCUUUCAUCAGGGAUGAUAAUGACAGUACCUGAAAAACAAGCCACGGCUACCUACGUGCCAGCAGCCGCGGUAAUACGUAGGGGCCGAGCGUUGUCCGGAAUUACUGGGCGUAAAGGAUGCGUAGGUGGAUACUUAAGUGGGAUGUGAAAUCCCCGGGCUCAACCCGGGAACUGCAUUCCAAACUGGGUAUCUAGAGUGCAGGAGAGGAAAGCGGAAUUCCUAGUGUAGCGGUGAAAUGCGUAGAUAUUAGGAGGAACACCAGUGGCGAAGGCGGCUUUCUGGACUGUAACUGACACUGAGGCAUGAAAGCGGGGGUAGCAAACAGG